UCCUCGGUAGCUCAAUUGGCAGAGCAUCCGGCUGUUAACCGGAGGGUUGUAGGUUCGAGUCCUACCCGAGGAGCCA
rnacentral:tRNA from 9 species